AGGUCAUUUCAAAGAGAUCUUAUGGGACAAAAACCAGGAGCUCUUAAUGCUGUGACCUAAUCUAAUUAAAGUUCUCCAUAGGAUGUAAUAGAUACUCGAUAGUGCUAUGUUUCCCUGAGGAGAUAUAAAU